CGCCCUGGACCGCCCACCGUGAUGGAAGAGAGAGGUGGGGAGAGGGAGGCAGAGAGAAACCGCUUUUUCUGUAUUCUAUGACAUAGACACAGGGCAGGAGACUGAGAGUCAGCGCUUCAAGCAAAGGAGUAUCUACAUUAAAAAAGUAUCAAGUGAAAAAAAAAAUUGAUGAGCAAGAUGCCUGCAGAAAAACCUGAGAAAAUGAUCAACUGUGA